ACGCUGGCGGAAUGCUUUACACAUGCAAGUCGAACGGCAGCACGGGGGCUUGCUCCUGGUGGCGAGUGGCGAACGGGUGAGUAACGCGUCGGAACGUACCGAGUAAUGGGGGAUAACGCAGCGAAAGCUGUGCUAAUACCGCUUACGCCCUGAGGGGGAAAGUGGGGGAUCGCAAGACCUCACGUUAUUCGAGCGGCCGACGUCUGAUUAGCUUGUUGGCGAGGUAAUGGCUCACCAAGGCGACGAUCAGUAGCGGGUCUGAGAGGAUGAUCCGUCACACUGGAACUGAGACACGGUCCAGACUCCUACGGGAGGCAGCAGUGGGGAAUUUUGGACAAUGGGGGCAACCCUGAUCCAGCCAUUCCGCGUGAGUGAAGAAGGCCUUCGGGUUGUAAAGCUCUUUCAGCCGGAACGAAACGGUAUUCCUUAAUACGGGAUGCUAAUGACGGUACCGGCAGAAGAAGCACCGGCUAACUACGUGCCAGCAGCCGCGGUAAUACGUAGGGUGCGAGCGUUAAUCGGAAUUACUGGGCGUAAAGCGUGCGCAGGCGGAUUGUUAAGCAAGAUGUGAAAUCCCCGGGCUUAACCUGGGAAUGGCAUUUUGAACUGGCAGUCUAGAGUGUGUCAGAGGGGGGUGGAAUUCCACGUGUAGCAGUGAAAUGCGUAGAUAUGUGGAGGAACACCAAUGGCGAAGGCAGCCCCCUGGGAUAACACUGACGCUCAUGUACGAAAGCGUGGGUAGCAAACAGGAUUAGAUACCCUGGUAGUCCACGCCCUAAACGAUGUCAACUGGUUGUUGGGGGAGUGAAAUCCCUUAGUAACGAAGCUA
rnacentral:rRNA from 1 species